GGAGUAAAGCAUAAGACAAAAGUAACUGUGAUGCUGACAAGUAGUUUUAUGAUUCUCUUCUUUUCCUUGUUUUCCGUGGCUUUAUUGUGCCGCACAGCUUGGUAGACUUUCCGGUUGCAGAUCAGGAUGGUGACCAAAGGUAUUGCAUAGCCUGUACACGUCCUGAACAAGUUGAGGUUGAUUUGCCAUUUCUCUAAAGGGUAUUUGUCAUAGCAUAAAGUAAAAUUAGACUUUUCGGCAUCGCAAUAUUCAACAACUGUUUCAUCUUCCCACAACAUGACAGCAUUGAAGAUGGUUUCCAAUAUCCAGAUGGACAGGCUGACCAUGAGUGCAAAUCUUCUUGUCCUUAGGAAAAAAAACUUCAAAGGGUAGACAACAGCCAAAUACCGAUCAACGGCAAUGCAGGAAAGACACACACAGAGAUCCAAUAUUGGCUGGAAUGCUGACUAUAAUCACAAAGAUGUAAACAAUGGGAAACAAAUAGUGAUCCAGGUCAUGCUGUUCUUCAAUACAUGUGCUGUUCAUUUUUUCCUUUUUAAGGUAGCA
rnacentral:lncRNA from 1 species